rfam:Brachypodium distachyon strain Bd21 chromosome 3, whole genome shotgun sequence.
CAUAUACUUUCUCCGUCCAACAAAGAAUGUCUCAAUUUUAGAAAAUUUGAAUGCAUCUAUACAUUAAGUCAUAUCUAGAUACAUCCAAAUUUUAUCAAACUUGAGACAUCCUUUGUUAGACGGAGGGAGUAGUAU